CCCAAAAACGACUGGAGGCCACUUCUUAUCACUGAAAAAAACAUUUUGCUGCUGACCCCGCGUGACUCAACCAGACCGCUGUUCUCAUAAACCGCCUUUAUAUAAUCCCCACGGUCUCGCAGAAAAACAGUAUUUCAACAGUCACUUAAGACCGUUUGUACCAACUUCCGCCAAUCUUCACCAUGAAGGCUGUCCUGUGUCUCCUGGUUCUCGUGGCCUCUGCCUACGCUGCCCCUAAGGAACUCAGCGAAGCUGAGAAGCGCGUCUUCCUAGAUACAGUCUUGGCCUUGAUCAUCUCUUUGACCUCACAACCCUGAAAUCCACCGUCUGCGGCAUCGUGGCUCUGGGCGGAAGUGACGAAGUCGAGACCCAGUGCGAGGGUCUGUGCCACAAGGUGCUGACAGGGGAGACAGUUGCCGAGAACCUUCUACACAGUGGCUGUCCUCUGAUCUGUCAUUCUUUCCAGACUUUGGUUCAUCUCGUCCCUUGCAACUAAGUCACCGCAGCCAUGGUCGUCUUAAUACAUCAAUGUUAAGAACACAGGAUGAUAGAUCACUUCCAGUGAUAAUAAAGCCUUCCAUACUAUAUA